rnacentral:rRNA from 1 species
AUUGAACGCUGGCGGCAUGCCUUACACAUGCAAGUCGAACGGCAGCACGGGAGCAAUCCUGGUGGCGAGUGGCGAGCGGGUGAGUAAUACAUCGGAACGUGCCCAAUCGUGGGGGAUAACGCAGCGAAAGCUGUGCUAAUACCGCAUACGAUCUACGGAUGAAAGCAGGGGACCGCAAGGCCUUGCGCGAAUGGAGCGGCCGAUGGCAGAUUAGGUAGUUGGUGGGGUAAAGGCUCACCAAGCCAACGAUCUGUAGCUGGUCUGAGAGGACGACCAGCAACACUGGGACUGGGACACGGCCCAGACUCCUACGGGAGGCAGCAGUGGGGAAUUUUGGACAAUGGGCGCAAGCCUGAUCCAGCCAUGCCGCGUGCAGGAUGAAGGCCUUCGGGCUGUAAACUGCUUUUGUACGGAACGAAACGGCUCUUUCAAAUAAAGAGGGCUAAUGACGGUACCGUAAGAAUAAGCACCGGCUAACUACGUGCCAGCCGCCGCUGUAACAC